rnacentral:lncRNA from 1 species
AACAGCCCACUCCACGCAGUCCUGUGUCCUCUUCUCCCUCAAAUACUCUGGCCGUGGGAAUCAUCAGGGACUCUACGGAGCGCUGGCCCUCCAAACCCGCUCCCCAAAGCACCGAGCGGCUGGCCUGGGCUCUCGUCAGUACAGGAUCACGGGAAACAGGCUUUUAGCUGCAGCUUUCAUCCGCCUGGGGCUUCCUCUUCUGAGAUGCUGAUUAUGGCCGAUGAAACCUGCGAAAGACAUAACAUUUUCAUUAUAAAGUCCAAGACUAUGAUCAUGUUCACAUGCACAUUAUUUUCUAAUUAUUGCUUUUAAUCAGGGAAAAAACUAAGUAAAAAAAAGAAAAGGAGAACGCCCCAAACACUUUCAAUGCCAUUCUACGAACAACUCUCCAUUUCUGUUGUAGAAGUAACUAAUGCUUUUCAGCAAAAAUACUAUUUUUUUUUAAACAUAAUCAGUUCAUUUAAAUGGUAACAAUAUUUCUAGUGUUCAUUUUGGCAGCAAAUUUUGAUUAAGAUUGAAAUACUGUUUAGUUUUAGUCAUAGGCCGAUGAAACCUGCGAAGACAUAACAUUUCAUUAUAAGUCCAAGACUAUGAUCAUGUUCACAUGCACAUUAUUUCUAAUUAUUGCUUUUAAUCAGGGAAAAACUAGUAAAAAAAGAAAGGAGAACGCCCCAAACACUUUCAAUGCCAUUCUACGAACAACUCUCCAUUUCUGUUGUAGAAGUAACUAAUGCUUUUCAGCAAAAAUCAUUUUUUUUUAACAUAAUCAGUUCAUUUACUUUAUUUUUUUUUUUUAAACUAUAAUCAGUUCAUUUAAAUGGUAACAAUAUUUCUAGUGUUCAUUUUGGCAGCAAAUUUUGAUUAAGAUUGAAAUACUGUUUAGUUUUAGUCAUACUUUAGUCAUCUGAAUACACAGAGUCCUCAUCUUUUCUGUGUUAAUCUGAGUUUAUGUCCAAACCAGCUGCAAUGGCAACGCAAAGUUUCUAUUUUAGAAAUGGUUUCUAUUUCUGCUACGUCAUGGCUUAGACAACAUCCAAACUACGACAGUGAUAAUCUCACAUACUUUGUUUAAUUCAAAGUGUGUUUGAUUUAAAAGUGUCUAAUGUGAGUUUGAAUAUAUUUUGCGAGACAUCUAAAGCCAUACUGAAAGCAACAAUAGAAAGUUUACCUCAGAUCUUGAAAAUAAAUUGAAACAAACAUGAACUCAGUGCGAAACCAACAAGUGUAUUCCAUAACAAAGAUGGUAUCAGUCACUCUGUAUUUACUAAUAAAGCUUUCAUAUUAGAUGAUUAGAUGAUAAACGUGUGCGCUUCUGCACUUGUGAAUGGCUGUGAUAUUAGAGCGAUUCUGUCGCGUCUGGUGUGGACAGACACAUUUCUUGACGCUGGAAUCUACAGGAGAUACAGUCAGCUAAAAUCUAAUGGGUUUAGUUACAGUGUAAUGCAUUAAGCAUUUCUUUAAAAUUUCCAAACUCAUUAUAUAUUCCUGGAGAAAACAUAUAUUAAGCUGGUAAUAUGAACAUGCAAUAUAGACACAGAUUUAACAGCUCUGACACAUAACAUGCCUUUAUAUUAAAAUUAAAUAAAUCCACUUCUUAAAGAAACAAGAACACGGUCUUCUGUUCAAUGAAAUACCAACGGUUAUAUAACAUGCAUUCUUUAUAACAACAUGAUUACCACAUUCUUUCAAGCAGACAUUUCUUUAUAUAAAUUACGUUUAGAUUAAUCCUAAUUGGGGCUACUGAAGGGAUUCAGUCAAGAGCAGUGAUUGACAUUCUCUCUUUUUUUCCGUUGAUUUAUUAACAAUAAGGACACAGACAAUGGCAGCUAAAUUAGGCUGCUGUCCCUUUAAAUGCACGGAUUCAAAAUACUGGUACACACAUCCGAUAUUCUCCCAACUGUUUACAUUCACAUAAGACAUAACUGAUUGGGUUUACGUGAAUACGCUAGGGCUGUGCGAUUUGGGGAAAAUAUCUAAUUGCGAUUUUUUUUUUGAUAGAUAUUGCAAUUGCGAUUUGAUUUGCAAUUUUAAUUUUGCAAAGUCAUGCUUUAGUUUAAUUUGUCAAUAGUGUGCAGCACAGUUUGUUAUGCUGGCUGAUGGACUG